rnacentral:rRNA from 1 species
AUUGAACGCUCGCGGCAGGCCUAACACAUGCAAGUCGAGCGAGAGGCGGACGGGUGAGUAAUGUAUGGGGACCGCCCGAUAGAGGGGGAUAACUACUCGAAAAGGUUGCUCAUACCGCAUACUCUCUGCUAACGCAUAUGGGAUUAUCUAGUAGGUGAGGUAAUGGCUCACCUAGGCGACGAUCCCUAGCUGGUCUGAGAGGAGGAUCAGCCACACUGGGACGGAGACACGGCCCAGACUCCUACGGAGGCAGCAGUGGGGAAUAUUGCACAAUGGGCGCAAGCCUGAGGCAGCCAUGCCGCGUGUAUGAAGAAGGCCCUAGGGUUGUAAAGUACUUUCAGUCGGGAGGCGUUACCGACAGAAGAAGCACCGGCUAACUCCGUGCCAGCAGCCGCGGUAAUAC